AAGUGGAAAAGGAUGUGGCGUUGCCCAGACAACUAGGAUGUUGGCUUAGAAGCAGCCAUCAUUUAAAGAGUGCGUAAUAGCUCACUAGUCGAGUGACACUGCGCCGAAAAUGUACCGGGGCUAAACAUAUUACCGAAGCUGUGGAUUGUCCUUUGGACAAUGGUAGGAGAGCGUUCUAAGGGCGUUGAAGCAUGAUCGUAAGGACAUGUGGAGCGCUUAGAAGUGAGAAUGCCGGUGUGAGUAGCGAAAGACGGGUGAGAAUCCCGUCCACCGAUUGACUAAGGUUUCCAGAGGAAGGCUCGUCCGCUCUGGGUUAGUCGGGUCCUAAGCUGAGGCCGACAGGCGUAGGCGAUGGAUAACAGGUUGAUAUUCCUGUACCACCUAUAAUCGUUUUAAUCGAUGGGGGGACGCAGUAGGAUAGGCGAAGCGUGCGAUUGGAUUGCACGUCUAAGCAGUAAGGCUGAGUAUUAGGCAAAUCCGGUACUCGUUAAGGCUGAGCUGUGAUGGGGAGAAGACAUUGUGUCUUCGAGUCGUUGAUUUCACACUGCCGAGAAAAGCCUCUAGAUAGAAAAUAGGUGCCCGUACCGCAAACCGACACAGGUAGUCAAGAUGAGAAUUCUAAGGUGAGCGAGCGAACUCUCGUUAAGGAACUCGGCAAAAUGACCCCGUAACUUCGGGAGAAGGGGUGCUCUUUAGGGUUAACGCCCAGAAGAGCCGCAGUGAAUAGGCCCAAGCGACUGUUUAUCAAAAACACAGGUCUCUGCUAAACCGUAAGGUGAUGUAUAGGGGCUGACGCCUGCCCGGUGCUGGAAGGUUAAGAGGAGUGGUUAGCUUCUGCGAAGCUACGAAUCGAAGCCCCAGUAAACGGCGGCCGUAACUAUAACGGUCCUAAGGUAGCGAAAUUCCUUGUCGGGUAAGUUCCGACCCGCACGAAAGGCGUAACGAUUUGGGCACUGUCUCAACGAGAGACUCGGUGAAAUCAUAGUACCUGUGAAGAUGCAGGUUACCCGCGACAGGACGGAAAGACCCCGUGGAGCUUUACUGUAGCCUGAUAUUGAAAUUCGGCACAGCUUGUACAGGAUAGGUAGGAGCCUUUGAAACGUGAGCGCUAGCUUACGUGGAGGCGCUGGUGGG
rnacentral:rRNA from 1 species